GUUGGCUUCAGCAGCAACAUAUAUUAAAAUUGGAAUGAUGCAGAGAAGAUUAGCAUGGCCCCUGCACAAGAAUGACAUGCAAAUUUAUGAAGUGUUCCAUAUUUUU
rnacentral:snRNA from 1 species